UUCCUCGACCUAUUCUCAAACUUUAAAUGGGUAAGAUGGUGUCGUUACUUAAUUGAACGACGUCGGUUAAUGUGGACUGUAAGUGGGCCAUUUUUGGUAAGCAGAACUGGCGAUGAGGGAUGAACCUAACGUCUGGUUAAGGUGUCCAAAUGCUGGCUCAUCAGAUACCAUAAAAGGUGUGACCUGACAAUGACAACAGGACGGUGGUCAUGGAAGUUGAAAUCCGCUCAGGAGUGUGUAACAACUCACCUGUCUAGUCAGGCUGCCCUGAAAAUGGAUGACGCUGAAGCCGGUUACCGAUACCAGACCAUCGUUGCAAAUGCGAUGCUUCGAUGAGUAGGCGUACGUGGAGGUUGUGACGCAGCUUUUGACGUGAGUCUGAGUGAAACAGCCUCUAGUGCAGAUCUUGGUGGUAG
rnacentral:rRNA from 1 species